CUCUUGUUGCCCAGGCUAGAGUGCAAUGGCACGAUCUUGGCUCACUGCAACCUCCGCCUCCCCCUCCGGGAUCUUUUUGUUCCUUAGUUGUCUUAUCUGCAAAAUGGGAAACAGGUUGAGUACCCUUCAUCCGAAAUGCUUGGGACUUGGAAGUAUUCUGGAUUUCGGAUUUUUUUUUCAGGUUUUGGGAUAUUUGCAUUAUACUUAAUGAUUAAGCCUCUCAAAUCCGAAAAUCUAAAAUUCAAAAUGCUCCAAUUAGCAUUUCCUUUGACCAUCCUGUCAGUGCUCAAAAAGUUUUAAAUUUUGGAGGAUUUUGGAUUUCUGGAUUAAGGAUACUCAACCUGUAAUAACGGCACCUACCUCACACAGGUGUGACAAAGAUUAGUUAAUACACGUAAAACACUUGGAACAGUUACAGGCUUAGUAAACACUUCAUAAAUCUUGGCUAUUCAAAGUCAUUAACGGAGAGUUACUACUGAGUCUUUUUUCCUAUGCAGAUCCCAGGUUUUCAUACUUACUAUGAAAAAACCUCAUGGGAAAAGUAUUAAUUCUCUCCAUCUAACAGAGUCAGCAAGCUCCCACAGGAGAAAGAAUCUGUUCAGGAGGAGGGCCAGUGCCUUCUAUUAAGCACUUUACACUUUCCUUUUUUUUUUUUUUUUGAGACGGAUUCUCGCUGUCACCCAGGCUGAAGUGCAGUGGCGCGAUCUCGGCUCACUGCAAGCUCUGCCUCCUGGGUUCACGCCAUUCUCCCGCCUCAGCCUCCCGAGUAGCUGGGACUACAGGCGCCCGCCACCACACCCGGCUAAUUUUUUGUAUUUUUUA
rnacentral:lncRNA from 1 species